GGGGGAAGCGGGGAGAAGCCCGGCGCCGAGGGCCAGGCUGCGGGGUCGCGGGGCGUGUGCGGGCCGUCGGCUUCGGGGUCCGUCCUGCUCGUUACCGGUGCGGCCGGCUCGGCCUAAGCCUCGUCUGCGCUCACAGGAAGAAGACUUAAUAAUGCUGACAGGAGAAAAUUCCCAAUGAUAUGGCCCAGCCACACCACCCUUCUGAGAAGGCACAGGUUGCUCCAGUCCUUGCAGAUCACCUGGAGGAUUAGACAGAAGAAGACCAACAGUCACAAAGGCCCAGGAGAAGCACAGGGCAGAAGCCCCCUGAGAAGCUGAAACGUGAAGGUGUCUUACAGCCAGGUGGCAGCUGACAAUCUCUGUGAGGUGACACACCAUGAACUACCCAAGGUCCACAAACCCAAAUGUCUUCCGGGACCAAGCAAGGAACUUCUUACAUGAGAGGCAGAACCAAGACAUGGUGCCCAGGAAGCGGGGACCCUAUGACAGAGGCUAGACUGCAGAGGGCUUGCCCUGUCUAUAAGUUUCAAUAGCAAACUUGUUAAUGCUCUGGGGGCCAAAUGCACAGGCUGGCAACCCGGGCCUCUUUCUUUUCCUUGUGGGUGUGAACACUGAUUUGUGCAUGUGUGGGGGUAUGCGGGCAUGUGUGUUAUGGGGGGGUGCAGUGGAGAUGGGACAGGAAGAACACAGGUGGUCCACCAGCCCUGGGCUGUUGGUAUAAGCGGCAGAGAGCUGAGGGUGGCAGCAGCAGCACCUGAACAGGGGAAGGCCAGGCCAGGCCAGGCCACCAGGCUUAUCCAAAGGCCUCUUCACUGAGAGUGGUGAAAACACCCAUUGCCAGGCCACAGUACGCAUCCCCACCAGUGUUCUAGGGGCUGCAGAAAGUGGCCUCCUCCUCAGCCUGGCUGAUCCCACCCCCAACCCGCUGCUGCACCAGCCCUGGGUAUGGUGGGCUCCCUGGGGAGAGUGCAGCUUGUAGCCCAUGUGCACCUUCA